rnacentral:rRNA from 1 species
AGUGAACGCUGGCGGUAGGCCUAACACAUGCAAGUCGAACGGCAGCACAGUAAGAGCUUGCUCUUACGGGUGGCGAGUGGCGGACGGGUGAGGAAUACAUCGGAAUCUACUUUUUCGUGGGGGAUAACGUAGGGAAACUUACGCUAAUACCGCAUACGACCUACGGGUGAAAGCAGGGGAUCUUCGGACCUUGCGCGAUUGAAUGAGCCGAUGUCGGAUUAGCUAGUUGGCGGGGUAAAGGCCCACCAAGGCGACGAUCCGUAGCUGGUCUGAGAGGAUGAUCAGCCACACUGGAACUGAGACACGGUCCAGACUCCUACGGGAGGCAGCAGUGGGGAAUAUUGGACAAUGGGCGCAAGCCUGAUCCAGCCAUACCGCGUGGGUGAAGAAGGCCUUCGGGCUGUAAAGCCCUUUUGUUGGGAAAGAAAAGCAGCAGGUUAAUACCCCGCUGUUCUGACGGUACCCAAAGAAAAAGCACCGGCUAACUUCGUG